rnacentral:rRNA from 1 species
GACGAACGCUGGCGGCGUGCUUAACACAUGCAAGUCGAACGGAAAGGCCCCUUCGGGGGUACUCGAGUGGCGAACAGGUGAGUAACACGUGAGUAACCUGCCCUUGACUUCGGGAUAACUUCAGGAAACUGGGGCUAAUACCGGAUAGGAAUCCUUGCUGCAUGGUGGGGGUUGGAAAGCUUCGGCGGUUUUGGAUGGACUCGCGGCUUAUCAGCUUGUUGGUGGGGUAGUGGCUUACCAAGGCUUUGACGGGUAGCCGGCCUGAGAGGGCGACCGGCCACAUUGGGACUGAGAUACGGCCCAGACUCUUACGGGAGGCAGCAGUGGGGAAUAUUGCACAAUGGGCGGAAGCCUGAUGCAGCAACGCCGCGUGCGGGAUGACGGCCUUCGGGUUGUAAACCGCUUUCAGCAGGGGCGAAGCUUGUGGUGACGGUACCUGCAGAAGAAGCACCGGCUAACUACGUG